rnacentral:rRNA from 1 species
AAGUUGUUGCGGUUAAAAGCUCGUAGUUCGAGCUCAGUUCCGGACUGGCCGGGGAGGUCACCGCCCGGUGCUUCCCCGUCAGGCUCCGAACAGCCUUCGUGAGCGGAGGCCAAGCCGGUUCUGCCGGGGUGCUCUUUACCGAGUGUCCCGCGCUGCCGGCCAGUUCACCUUGAAUAAAUGAGAGUGCUCAAAGCAGGCUCAUUAUAAAUACAAUGCCCGAAUGUUACCUGCAUGGAAUGAUGGAAGAUGAUCUCGGUUCCAUUUUAUUGGUGGUGGGAGCCCGAGGUAAUGAUAAACAGGGACUGUCGGGGGCAUCCGUACUACGACGCGAGAGGUGAAAUUCAGUGACCGUCGUAGGACGAACAACAGCGAAAGCAUUUGCCAAGAAUGUCUUCGUUGAUCAAGAACGAAAGUUAGAGGAUCGAAGGCGAUCAGAUACCGCCCUAGUUCUAACCCUAAACGAUGCUGACUAGCAAUUCGCCGUCGUUAUUCCCAUGACGUGGCGAGACGCCCCCGGGAAACCUUAAGUCUUUGAGUUCCGGGGGUAGUAUGGUUGCAAAACUGAAACUUNNNNNNNNNGACGGAAGGGCACCACCAGGAGUGGAGCCUGCGGCUUAAUUUGACUCAACACGGGAAACCUCACCAGGCCCGGACACCAGAAGGAUUGACAGAUUAAGAGCUCUUUCUCGAUUUGGUGGGUGGUGGUGCAUGGCCGUUCUUAGUUGGUGGAGUGAUUUGUCUGGUUAAUUCCGGUAACGAACGAGACUCUGGCCUACUAAAUAGUCGACGGGCGUUUUGGUGCAUGGGCCCCGUUCGACACAGUCUUCUUAGAGGGAUGAGCAGCGAGUAUAGCUGCAGGAGAUUGAGCAAUAACAGGUCUGUGAUGCCCUUAGAUGUCCUGGGCCGCACGCGCGCUACACUGAAUGGGUUAGCGGGUUGUCCUUCUCCGAGAGGAGCGGGAAAUCGCUUGAAAACCAUUCGUGAUAGGGAUUGGGGCUUGCAAUUGUUUCCCAUGAACGAGGAAUUCCCAGUAAGCACAAGUCAUCAGCUUGUGUUGAUUAAGUCCCUGCCCUUUGUACACACCGCCCGUCGCUACUACCGAUUGAAUGAUUUAGUGAGGCCUUCGGACUGGCGGUCUUGGACUGGGGCGCCGGCGUUCUCCAGCAAUGGGGUGCCGGUGACCCGCCUAGACGGGCCGGAAAGAUGUCCAAACUUGAUCAUUUAGAGGAAGUAAAAGUCGUAACAAGGUUUCCGUAGGUGAC